UACGAGGGUCCCGAGCGUUGUCCGGAAUUAUUGGGCGUAAAGGGCUCGUAGGCGGUUUGUCGCGUCGGGAGUGAAAUCCACUGGCUUAACUGGUGGCUUGCUUUCGAUACGGGCAGACUGGAGGUAUGCAGGGGAGAACGGAAUUCCUGGUGUAGCGGUGAAAUGCGCAGAUAUCAGGAGGAACACCGGUGGCGAAGGCGGUUCUCUGGACAUGUCCUGACGCUGAGGAGCGAAAGUGUGGGGAGCGAACAGG
rnacentral:rRNA from 1 species